AGCUGUUUUCUCAGCAGUGAAGUCAGCCCGUGUUCAGUGUUCAGUUUGGUCAUGUCUGGACUGCUGGGUGUUCGACUGCUGCUGUUGUGGGGCUGCGUCUGCCUUGGGCUGCCCAGCCUGACCCAGGGGGCUCUGGUCAUCUCUGGGUACCCUGAAGCAACACAGGAGACGAGAGGAGCUGCCAGAUCACUGCAGAAAAGAAGUACAAAUGAAGCCACGGUAAUAAAAUAAAAGUUGUCUUUAAUGAUGUGAGGGCAUCAUCUUACCUGCCAGAUCUGCAGAUACACACAAUAAGAAGGAGAAGA